rnacentral:misc_RNA from 1 species
GUUGCCAACCACGGCGAACGAACACAUUGUCCCCCCUUCGGCGGGUCGUGGCGCCUCGCGGCGUCGCGGCGCGCCGUCACCCCUCGUCACCAGCGCGAGCUUCGUGGCGUCGGGUUUCCACACGAUGCAUCACCCGAAUGACUGAGUCCCGAAUACUUGGAUGGAGGAGAGGGCGCGUCGCGUCUCCUGGAGCGAGCGGGCUUUUGGCUUGCGAACUCGAGGUGCGCGUGGCGCGCCGGUUACCUUACGACGAGUUGAAAUCUAACUGAAANNNNNNNNNNNNNNNNNNNNNNNNNNNNNNUGCAUCGAUGAAGAACGCAGCGAAAUGCGAUACGUAGUGUGAAUUGCAGAAUUCCGCGAAUCAUCGAGUCUUUGAACGCAAGUUGCGCCCGAGGCUUGUCCGAGGGCAUUUCCGCUAGAGCGUCACCGCGCCCCCCACCGAUCCGCUCCCGCCGCGAGGCGCCAGUCGGGUCGAGUGCAAGUGGCCGUCCCGGCGAAGUGGCCUUCUUUCACGAGGAGGCCGUCCUUGGAAGGGUCGGCUGAAAUGGAUGGAAUCGGGCCGCCGUGGUGACACAGUCCGCGAUCGGGUGAUUUUGUCGCGAGCCUCCUGCGCUGCGGGAGGCUCUUGGUGAAUUUUUCUAAGUGCUUGGCUGCGUCCCCCAGUUGGCUCGGGUUACCUCAUGCAGGUCGAGCGCGCCCCCGCGGCGCGCGUCACGCAUCAGAC